GCCAUCGUACAAUUUUACAUAAAUAUAUGACUAAAAUAUAUAAAAACUUUAUAUAUAUAUAUUUAUUUAUUUUAAAAUUUACUUUUAAAAUUUAAAAAAAUAUUUUUAGAAAUUUGGUAUUAAUGAAAAAGACGUAAGAAACAACAUAAUAAAAAAUUAUUUUUUAUAUAUUUUUAUUAUUUUUAAUUAUUUUUAGUAUAAAUUAUAAAAAAUAAUGGAAUAGCAAUGGUUGCUUAAUGAAUGUGGCUAAAUAUAUCACCUUAUAAAAUUCUGAAUAAGAUAAAAGAUUUUUUUUUAUUUUUUUUUGCAUUUGGCUCUCUCAAAAAAAUUAUUUUCAUAAAUAGUUCCACCAAAUUUAUAAUUAUAAUUUUGACUCUAUUUUCGUCGUACAGGUAUCAUGUAAACGCCAAACAAAUAAUAGUGGAAGAGCUGGAAUAAGUUGAACACUAUAAUUCAUUCACCAUAUCUAUUGUAUUUUAAAUUUAAGCGCGGAGGUAAUAUAAGUAUAGAAACACGAUAAAUGAUUCACCGUGUCUAUUAUAUUUCAAAGUAAAGCGUAGAAAAAUAUAAGUAUGGAACACGGUGAACCAUUCACCGUGUUUAAAAAUAGUGAAUUGUUUACCAUGUUCAACUUAUUUCUACACCCAUCGCUUCGCGCUGAUGUGGCUCCUGCGUUGUGAGGAUAGCGUCAAAAUUAUAAUUAUAAAUUUAUAAAUUUGGUAGAGAAAAAAAAAAAAAAAAAAAAAAAAAAAAAAACUCUAAGAUAGAAUAUAAUUUUUAUAAAAAAUAUUAUAAAUAUUUUUUCUAUAUUUU
rnacentral:lncRNA from 1 species